AAUAAAUCUCACCCUAGAGAUCCUCUUCUGGCUUACUGGAGAGGACUACACAGUAGUAAAGAAGACCUCUAGUGAGCGCUGUCAGGACCCUGUGUCUGAAGGAUGGGGAGGAACCCUGAGCCCAAUCAUGGGGCCUCCAUCUCGCCCCCUGAUGUAUGAGGAAAUCAAUAGAGAGAAGAUCCUAGAACUCGCCAACAAGAUGAUUGAGCUGCUGACUGGAGAGGUUCCUAUAAGGUGUCAGGAUGUUACCGUCUAUUUCUCCAUGGAGGAGUGGGAGUAUU